rnacentral:misc_RNA from 1 species
AAAGUCGUAACAAAGGUUUCCUGUAGGUGAACCUGCGGAAGGAUCAUUACCCAAAGAAAGAACCAGAAAACCACUUCAGGGAGGCGGACCUACGGACAGUCUUUGAAACCCCCUGUUGGGAACCACCUACUACCUGCAAACGCACCGUCCUGAGCGGUGGCAGGACGAUGAAUCAGGCACCGGUGGCCCGAUUUACCUUCACAUAAUUCCCUGGCGUAUCAACUUCCACGUUGCUUCCCCGUAAUCCUCACUCAUUGGUGGAACCCGGGGGAAGGUCUCCACAAAAACGACCUGCACUCAACAGCAGUCAGACGGACCAAUGACAAAUCAUUAAAAA